GUUUCUUGUCUGGCACUCUUCUCAGUGCUGAGAGUGACCACAAUAGAAAUAAAAGCACCUAUUGAAUAGUGUUAUAUUAAUUUGAUGAGACAACUCAUGUAAAUAAAAUAUUUAGUUCUACAGUAUUAGUAGAACUAAUACUACUAAUACUAGUGGUAUAGCACAUAGCAGGCAUUCAAGAAAUGUUAUCAUUAUCAUCACAGUAAUUUUCAUUAGCACUCUUCCUCUCUCCUCUUUCUGGAAUUUCUGAGAUUGUACUUUACACUCUGGUCACUGCGUAUAUCAGGACAAUGGAUGUAGGUGAGCCGUGAACACUACCGCUGGCGGACACAAAACCACAGUGUACAAGGUACCCUGGAAGCUGCCUAAUACUCCACCGUGAGAUGUGUGUUUGCUGGCCCAGAAGUCUGGAGAAGGAAGUCACUUUCCCCUUGAUGCCCAGCAGAGCAGAAAUGAUGGAGGCGCCAAGACCAGUAGCCUCCAGCAAUCAAAAGACGAUGGGGCUAUCACUGCAAGUUUGGCAGUCAUGGGGAAAGUGAGCCAGAGAAAGAAGACAGAACUUGAGACCCUCUGGAAAGAUAGUAAUGGAAAAUAAAUGAUUCAUUUCAUAACACUGGGUCCAGAAUAUGAUGUUUCAACUGGGACAGUUAAGGUCUGUAUCAAAGGAGGAAAGGUAGGACUGAAUGAUAAUGACCUUGGAAAGAAAGGAGGAAGGGAGCUAAUAUUUAGCAUCAUUCUACUACGUGUCAGACGCUAUAUACCACAUCUCCUGAAUCCCCAUGACAACCGAGAGAGGCAAAAUGGUAUAAUAGAUAAGAGGGAAACUUAUGAGAACUGUCAGAUAAAACCCAAAUAUGAGUUCCAGCU
rnacentral:lncRNA from 10 species